rnacentral:snoRNA from 1 species
UGUCGGGUUGAUAACUAGGCGGAGGUUUCAAAAUUGCUCGACGACCCUUGCCCUUUAAGUACCCGAAAGAUUGAAACACUCAGCGGUUGAUCUUACACAUUGCUUUCGUUUCUUUAUGUCUGAUUAUGUUUAUUCGAUCGCGACAUGU